AGAGAGAAAAUAUCAUUUAAGUGGGAGUCAUAUUGAAACAUGGGAAAAUAGCUAAUUCAGCUGAAAUAUCAAUGUAAUCACAAGGACAUUGUCUUAUUGACUCUUUUUUCCCCUCAUAUAACUUCCUUUGCCUUUUACCAAUCCAGCCCGAAGAGGAAUUUGAAAAGAACAAGCAAACAAACCAAAAUAAAUCAGAACAAAACAACUCUGCCUCCUUCCCAAAUGAAAAAGGCCCUCAAAAUAAUAAAUAUAAAAAGCACUGAGGAAAAUGAUCUCUUUGAAAGAAUUACAUUGCGAGAAAAUUCCUGCAGGAGAGAGGAUUGAAAAUGAGACAUGAAGUUACAACAAAAUGCCAAAUAGCAAGUUCUAUAAGGACAGCAACCCUGUACCCUGCUGAAACUCAAGCACCGAGCACAGUGCCUGGACCAUGGCAGACAUUCGUGGAGAAUCUUCAUCAACCAAAGGAAGUUCGUUAUCAAGGUUGACACUGAAUGUAACUAAAGGAGCAGUGGCAUCCUGUGAAUGUUUUUAGAUCUCAGUCGAAGUAAUUUGGACUGUGGUGGUCUCGGGUGUGCUUGUGGUGAUGAAUUCUGAGGAAGCUUCUGCAAUAACUACAGUGUUCACUGCUGGUUCGGCGAAGUAUGGAUUCUUCAAGGAAGUGGCUCACGUUCAAUUUUACAGUGACCUGAAAUAAAUCACAGGCAUAUAGUUAUUAAUCUCAGUGGGUCAUUUGCUCGCAAACGCGGCAUAUAAAAAGAACAAGAAGAUAAAUUGAGUGAGACAGAAUUCCAAGAUUGGAGAUAACCUAUAUACUGCAAGGACAAUAUAAGAAAAAUAAAAGUACGAUCUUUUUGUUACAUGAAGAUAAUGAUUACUGUCCCCUCCCAACUUAGAGAAUUGUUUGAGGAACCAAGUGAAAUGAUAUAGGGGCAAAUGCUUAAGACAGGAAAUGUGCAGAAUAUGCUUGACAGUCAGGAACGAAAAGAACAGACAAUAAACCCAGAAGUGGCAUUUUUAUAUAUCUACAAUUCAACUCCACAACUCCACAAACAAGUGAUGGUUUUAGAAGACUGAUGGACAAGAACAUGUCCCACUAUUUUGUAAUAAAGGGGGGAAAAAGCACUUUUAUCUCCAUGACCCCAUUCCAUGUCCUUGAAAAUGAAAUGGUGUUUCAUUUGAAAGACAAAUACUCAUCAAUGUGCUUAUGUGAUUUUGCAAGGAUGGUACCAAGGUUCUCUACUUCCUUUUUCUGUUUUAAGUGUUUUUAAGGACUCCAGUUAGUGGGGGGAGAAAAUCUCUCACUGCAAACAUAUACGAAUGAGGAAAAUUAGUCUGGAGAGUUUCAGGAGAGAGUACAAAUCCUAGAAGCUUAUUUAGUUAUCUGCAAAAGCAGCUACAUAAAUAAUAUUUUUCUGUUUCAUCUUAUUAUAAUAAAAAAUAUAGAUCUGACAGAUUUGGAACAAGAUGUGGUUUCACAUGGAUGCAUUCUGUGAACAAGUGAUUCAAGUGAAAAGGUGAUUGUGGUGCUUAUAUUUUAAUUUGAGAAAUAUAAAAAUAAACAGAGAUGUUCAGAAGAUAAUUGGGUAUGCCAGUCUAAAUUGAGGGGCAGAAAUUCAGAAUCACAUCUAAAUAUUUCAACAUCAUCAGACCAUAGGUGAGAAUUAAAAUUCUCAAAGUGGCAAGAUGAUAGGGGAAGAGGUAUAUAGAAGAAAAAGAGGCUGCGGAGGGACCCUAGAGGAUAUCAGUGUUACAUCUGAGCAAAAGAAAUCAAUGAAAAAAGAAAGAGAAGUAGUCCUAGGAAGAGAGAUACAAGGAGAGUACUGAGCAGUGAGACUUCAUCCCUAGGACCAAAUGCAGUCGUGCCCUUGGGGACAAGGUACAAUUGCAUCUACUGCAUUGUUGUUAAUAAUUGUAAGAGUUUUGAAAAUUGCACCUCUUGGGGAGUGAUGGAAAUGUUAGCUAUCUUGAUUGUGGCAGUGGUUUCAUUGGUGCCUACAUCUAACAAAAUUCAUCAAACUGUACAGCUGACCUAAGUGUAGAUUACUAUACAGGAACCAUACCAUAAUAAAGGUGUUAAAAAGUAAUGAUUGUGAGAGUUAGCUGAUACAGUGCGUAUUAAUCACAAGGCACAUGAUGGGCGCUCAGUAAAUUCUAGCUGUAAAAUCAUUAUUACUACUUUCAUCAUAAUCAUUCUCAUGAGAAAAGAAUAGCUUUGGAAGGGAGUGAAAAGAAAGAGAAAGCGAUGUUGGCUUUGGACUAGAAGAUCAGCACAUUUUUGGGACUGGAAGGUGAAGGUCCACGUUCAAAUUUAGAUCAACUUAUAGAAAGAUUAGACUGGGAGGUUGAUGCUUAUGGUUGAUAAAUUUGAUGUCUUCUUUGGUGAAGAAAGGGAGAUUAUUUUCUGCUAAUGAGUGAAGGAGAGAAAAUUCAAGCCCUGUGGAGAAUAAUGGAACGACUAAUGGUUUUUGAAGACCAAAAAAGGAAAUAUAGCUACCUUCUAACAACAAGAAAAUAUUCGGUAAGGAGUUUUGAGUGUUCAGUAAAUUAAAAGAUACAUAAAUAUACAGGGGGCAGUUAUAUGGUUGGGAGAUAUUUUUUUCCUUUAGAAUUUAGCUGCCUGGGUAAAAUGGCAGUGGGAGUGAAUUUUAAGGAUUUCUAGUGUUGGGGUUUUUCCAGGCAGGAUGGUUAAAGGCAGAAAGGCAGUGUGAACUAUGAAGAGAAUAGUUAAAACGAUCAAUGAUGGAGUCCAGGUAAGUAGGAAAGGAAGGCAGGCAAGUGGAAAUAAAUAGAAUGGAUUGCUGUGGUGGGAGAGGCUUGACUGAUUGGAAGAGUCUUUGAAGUGAAAUCAGAAGUCCCCAGCUUUUACUCAUUUUACCCUUCUGAAAUACAUAUGUCACAUAAUGCCUCUCAGGUGGUCUCCCACCUCAAACCAAUUGCAUAACACAGACUGCCAUGUCGUAGUAGUCUUCACUGCUUCCUGAUGCACUUUCUUUGAAUUCCUCACAUCCCUAGGUUUUCUAAAGACAUGCUUAGCUUUUUCAUGCGUUCCUGUUCCUCUACGCUUGCACCCACCUCAGUGAAUUUGCUUUACUGUUUGCUGAAAGAAGCCAUCAGAAAGAUGUGACAGUCAGUUGACCCACAAGGGAGGUAGGGAGGCUCUUUGCCCCCUCCCCUGGGCAUUCUGCUUGCCUUCCAUGAUGCCCAGAAACCGCUCCAAGGAUACAGCCUUGAAACAGAAAUGUGCUGUUGACGCUAUUUCAA